GCACAGCGCGAAAGGGGCAGGUGAAACGAGUCGGGUCCUGACGGAACAGCAUGAAUGGCGAGCCUUUCUUACUGCGUGUACGAGGCUGGAGGUUGGCUGGU
rnacentral:SRP_RNA from 1 species